rnacentral:rRNA from 1 species
UGCCUACGGGGCGCAGCAGUGAGGAAUAUUGGUCAAUGGGCUUACGCCUGAACCAGCCAAGUCGCGUGAGGGAAGACUGCCCUAUGGGUUGUAAACCUCUUUUGUCAGGGAGCAAUUGGCGCUACGUGUAGCGUUAUCGAGAGUACCUGAAGAAAAAGCAUCGGCUAACUCCGUGCCAGCAGCCGCGGUAAUACGGAGGAUGCGAGCGUUAUCCGGAUUUACUGGGUGUAAGGGGAGCGUAGACGGUGAUGCAAGUCAGAAGUGAAAGCCCGCGGCUCAACUGCGGGACUGCUUUUGAAACUGUA